UGCCCAGCAACUCCUAUCCCUACCUCCUCGUGAUACUAGCCGGGAUACGAGUAACCUUGGGGAAGAUCGGGUAACCAACCCCCGGUGGGAACUUUGGUCGUAUGCUGACAGGGAAGG
rnacentral:ribozyme from 1 species